UACGAAGGACCCGAGCGUUAUCCGGAUUUAUUGGGUUUAAAGGGUGCGUAGGCGGACAUGCAAGUCAGUGGUGAAAUCUCCCUGCUCAACAGGGAAACUGCCAUUGAAGCUAUGUGUCUUGAGUACAUUUGAGGCGGGCGGAAUGUGUCAUGUAGAGGUGAAAUUCUUAGAUAUGACACAGAACACCAAUUGCGCAGGCAGCUCGCUAAACUGUAACUGACGCUGAGGCACGAAAGCGUGGGGAUCAAACAGG
rnacentral:rRNA from 1 species